rnacentral:rRNA from 1 species
UACCAGCACCCCGAGUGGUCGGGACGUUUAUUGGGCCUAAAGCAUCCGUAGCCGGUUCUACAAGUCUUCCGUUAAAUCCAACUGCUUAACAGGUGGGCUGCGGAAGAUACUAUAGAGCUAGGAGGCGGGAGAGGCAAGCGGUACUCGAUGGGUAGGGGUAAAAUCCGUUGAUCCAUUGAAGAACCACCAGUGGCGAAGGCGGCUUGCCAGAAACGCGCUCGACGGUGAGGGAUGAAAGCUGGGG